CGUGUAGGCGGUCAGGUAAGUGGAAUGUGAAAUUCCCCGGCUCACCCGGGGACCGGCAUCCCAAACUGCCUGGCUUGAGUAUGGGAGAGGAUGGAGGAAUUCCUGGUGUAGCGGUGAAAUGCGUAGAUAUCAGGAGGAACACCGGUGGCGAAGGCGUCCAUCUGGCCCAAUACUGACGCUGAGGCGCGAAAGCUAGGGGAGCAAACG
rnacentral:rRNA from 1 species